GAAUGUUAUCUGCCAACAGAUGGUGCUACAUGAAAACCCAGAUGAUCGGCAAAGUUGCAAUUCAUCCUGAGUGGUUGUCUGCACCAAAUGUCAUGGUAAAACAUCCAAAAGUCAAGACAUUUCACUCAAAAUAACAAAUAUCAACCUCAUGGUGGCGCUAGAGGGAAAAUCAGGGGAUCACUGCAGUCAUUAGGAUUCAUCCUCUUGGGAGAGUCAGUGUCUCUACAAAAUAUCAUGACAAUCCAUCCAAUAAUUGUUGAGAUAUUUCAAUCUGGACCAGUGUGGUGGACCGACCAACCGACUGCCAACUGCCAAACACAGAACCAGGCCAAAACAUGGGUUAGCAACUGUCCAACAUUUCUGGACACCAAGGCGGUCUCUUUAGAGGUGAAGCCUGAUGCUGUGAAGUUAUCUGAAAGUCAAAUGAUGUUCCAGAGUUGGAAGGCUCCAGGGGAUUAUGUUACAGCACUAAGAGCACUACACGUGUCAACCAGGUGAACACCACAGAUUCACAGAUUUUUAAGGUGACACGGGACUUUGAACUGCAGACACAUGGAGGGCUGUUGUAGGUCUGCAACCAAAGAGGACGAUCAGAGCAGCUACACGCUCCUGCGGCAGAACACUGAUGUCAUUAUAUCAAAUAAAAGAAUCACAAAGAAAGGAAGUCACGCAGGAGGUAGAUGGAUACCUGUGGGGGGCCACGGAACAAUGUGAUGCAUGAAACUAAACAGUCUACAUGUGCUCGUGCGUCAAGGGUUUGGAGAGCUGAGACACUGCGUCAUCACGCGUCCCUGUUGACACUGACGCAACUACUUUCCAAAGAAUGUCUUCAUGUCUGUCUGUCUGUCAGCCUCACUAUUGCCUAUAAAGACCAGAGCUCCGCCCAGUGGCAGGAACUGAACCGGCACCCUGUUUAAUCUUCUUUAAAUAAGUCUUCAUAAUUUGGAGUGCAAAAAAGAAAAUACAUGCAGCCUCUACAUAUUUAUGUGCCAACUCAAUAUUCUUUUAAAGCACUAUAAAGUGGCAACACAUAUCUAAUCUAAUCCAAAGAAAGUGACAUUAUUCUCCUGAUAAACUGUAUCCCUGUUGCAGCGUUUCUCACAAACAGCAUCUGAGCAAACGCAGAUGUAACAGUUCAUAUGGAGGAGCGAUUUGGACAUGUAAAGAUAGAUUUCAUUGAUUUCCCAUGUAGAUGUUGCUGUUUCUCCUUCCUUAUUAGAGAGGUCAUAGGUCGAGAGGCUGUUAGAAAUGUAGGAAUUUGCAGUCUUGAUGGCACAGUUUGGAUACAGGUUGUAUUUUCAGGAAGCAGAUGGAAAUCCACAGUAAACUUUAUUUGUUUCCCUCCACUGAUGCAGCUUUUGAGUGUCAUGGCCCAAAAUGUCAUCUGUUAACUCAAUCAAAAACACAAGACUGACUGAGUAAUGUCUCCAUCAUCACCAUCUGACGCAUUCGGCCUGUUCACCCACCCUUUCUCUUCACACACACGCGCGCGCACGAAUUCACGCACGACCUUGGCGCAACCCCUCCCUCCUCCGGUUCGGCUCAGCUAUAUAAAUCUCCUCUGUUUGGAGUUUGGAACCAAGGUGCAGCGACCCGCAGAGUGAAGACUGAUCGAAGAAAACAAUCGCACCAACGAGACAUCCGCUGCUGUGAAAAACCACCUGUGGUUCCGACCUCUACCUGUAAGCUCCAAAGUCUUCUCAAAGUAAGUCCUCGCACUCUCACUCUGACUCCAAUAGGAAUAAAUAUGUGUUAAUAGGCCGUAUUCUGUGCAUAAUCCUAUAUAGAACUGCAUUCGUAGAACUGGUCGAGGCAGACGACCACCCACCUAGAGCCGAAGGGUCUGUCCUAAGUUUCUGCCUUUUAACAGGCAGUUUUUCUUUGCCCCCGUCGCCAAGUGCUUGCUCAUGGUGGUACUGUUGGGUCUCUGUAAAUAAUGUUAUAAGGAGUUCGGUCUAGACCUGCUCUAUUUGAAAAGUGUCCUGAGAUAACUUCUGUUAUGAAUUGGCGCUAUACAAAUAAAACUGAAUUGAAUUGAAUUCGGACGGAUUUUCUUAACAGUUUAGAAAUACCUGCAGACCGAAUAGAAGAGAAUUUCUGUGAGCAAGAUUUUCUAAAUAAAAGCCUUCUUGAUAUGUUAAAUGUUUUGUUCAGCCAAUGCUUUUUUUUCCUUAAAGUUUUUUCUACCAUCGACUGAAAAAAGCUCACAAUCUUUGCAGUCAGACUGUUAGUUCAAUUACUUUUUCCAACUUUAUUUAUGACUUGUCAGGGUGCGCAGUUUGCAGGUUAAACCUAAAGUGAGCUUAAAAAAAAAAAAAAGAAAAGCAUUGUUGCAUGACAACAAUUUUAAGGAACUCUAAACAUGAACACAACAUUGGCGUUAAAUUGUGCGCUUCACAGCUCUGAGGUCGCGUUUGUGCAUGAAGUUUGAGUGAAAUCUCACCUACCUGAGGUGAAGCCGUUCAGCACCACGGACAGCGCCAGAUCCGAACCACACAGACAGAUGCCAGUCAGGUCUCCUCACUGCGGCCAUAUGCAGAGCCGCUCUUUAAGAGGAACAGUCAGAUACACUCACUUUUCUGUUUCAAACAUCACAGGCUGCAGUCGAAAAUAGCGCAGUUGUAACUCAUCCUGUGAACCUGCAGUCGCUCUGUAAUGUGGAGGAAUGAGAGCAGACAGAAGGGACCUGUUGCUCAGUGUAACUCGACUCAAUCUGUAAAAAGACACCUGCCGCUGCAUUUAUUAUUGCAUGAGGGUUUUAAACAUAGGAUGAGGGAUUACAUACAGUACAGUAAUAUUAAAUAACGAUGUUAUUAUAUGUUAUACACUUUAUUUAUUGUCUCACAACUCAGACGCUAUAAUAAAGAUUAGAAAACUCAAGGAAUAUGGUAAAAAAAGAGUGUAGUUUACGCAUUCAACACAAAAUUGGCAGAUACAUACUGUGCAGGUGGGCAGAGCAAGAUAUUAGUAUUAGAUUAGUAGUCAUAAUAAUAAAGUUAUAACACAGUUCACUUGUUGCAUUGUUCAAAUAGGCUUUCUCACAUUGUAACUUCAUCAGAAGCACUCUGUUUUAGCCACAGGGGCGGCAGCCGGCACCCAGUUUGGUGUCAAAUGCUGUCAAAUUGAACUAAUUUAUGUAGAUUAAUUUUAAAAAGAAUGUGUUGAAAAACGAAAAUGAAUGAACUGAUCUGUUAUGACCACAUUUUAGACUGACUGAUAGUCUUAAGUUUAAUGAAAAAAGGCCUGAUUUUGGGGGAAAAACGUCUGAAGAUUUGGAAAUAAAGCAAUUUAUUGAUUUCUGAUGCCAUUUCUAUUCAGUGCUUUACUAAUGUGCCACAAUAAUAUAAUGUUUGUGACUUCAAAUACUGAUAAAUGUGAUUGUUGCUGCCCUCUGGCCGCCCCAUGAAUAUUUGUGUGGAUUAGCCACCACACUCUAUCAAAUAAUAUGAGAUUAAAUUAAGUUAAAAUGACAACAAUAAUGUUUGGAGGACUGAGAGCCAUGGAUCAGAGAGGUAUAGUUUAUUGUUAUAGCUGCUUUCAGAAAAUGUAAUUAGCUGG
rnacentral:lncRNA from 1 species